CUCAGCCUUUAGCUGACUCUGAAAGGAGCCAGAGAUCCACCUCAUCCUUCCAACAGAAACUGAGUGACAUGAUCGCGGCUCAGCCUUUAGCUGACUCUGAAGCGAGCCAGAGAUCCACCUCAUCCUUCCAACAGAUUCACAGAAGAACACAACACUUCACUUCAACAAAGCUUCCUCAAAGUGCUCCAAUGGAA